AGAAGUUCAACCACUACCAAUGUGCAUGUGGCUAGUGAUGCGAAGAAAAUCGACCAGCUCACAUGCCUCUUUCCUUUGUCUAGCAUUUGAAACUUGUGCUAUUUUGAAUAUCGGUUGCUGCAUUAUCAUGUCCGCGUAUAUUAUCCUUUAACCUUUUGUUCUUGAUCCAGGCUAAGACAAUUAAAUGUACAUUUUUUAUUAAUAAAAUUUUGUUUCAACUUAUCCAGGUCCC
rnacentral:lncRNA from 1 species